AUCCAGGUGAUGAGUCCCAAAUAGGACGAAACACACGUGCUGGAU
rnacentral:hammerhead_ribozyme from 1 species